rnacentral:tRNA from 1 species
UUUGACAUUCUCUAUAGGAGAGUCUGUGUUUCGGCCACAGGAGUUGAAGUUUAUAUUUCUGUCAAAU